rnacentral:rRNA from 1 species
AGGGAGUUUGAUCCUGGCUCAGGAUGAACGCUAGCUACAGGCUUAACACAUGCAAGUCGAGGGGCAACAUGGGGUUUGCUUGCAAACUCCGAUGGCGACCGGCGCACGGGUGAGUAACGCGUAUCCAACCUUCCCCUUAGUAGGGCAUAGCCCGGCGAAAGUCGGAUUAAUACCCUAUGUUGUAUGACGAUGACAUCAGAAUUAUACCAAAGAUUAAUCGCUAAGGGAUGGGGAUGCGUCUGAUUAGGUUGUUGGCGGGGUAACGGCCCACCAAGCCUACGAUCAGUAGGGGUUCUGAGAGGAAGGUCCCCCACACUGGUACUGAGACACGGACCAGACUCCUACGGGAGGCAGCAGUGAGGAAUAUUGGUCAAUGGACGAGAGUCUGAACCAGCCAAGUAGCGUGCAGGAAGACGGCCCUAUGGGUUGUAAACUGCUUUUAUCAGGGGAUAAAGUGGGAAACGUGUUUUCCAUUGCAGGUACCUGAUGAAUAAGGACCGGCUAAUUCCGUGCCAGCAGCCGCGGUAAUACGGAAGGUCCGGGCGUUAUCCGGAUUUAUUGGGUUUAAAGGGAGCGCAGGCGGGCGUUUAAGCGUGCUGUGAAAUGCCGCGGCUCAACCGUGGAAGUGCAGCGCGAACUGGAUGUCUUGAGUGAGUACGACGCGGACGGAAUUCGUGGUGUAGCGGUGAAAUGCUUAGAGAUUACACAGAACACCGAUUGCGAAGGCAUCUCACGAAGGGUUGAUUGACGCUGAGGCACGAAAGCGUGGGGAUCGAACAGGAUUAGAUACCCUGGUAGUCCCCU